AAAAAGAUUACCAGUGCUAUCUAUUUUCUUUUUCUUCUCUUCUCUGUUUACACAGGGGUUGCUCUUUUAUCGAGAGACUCCGGCCUCCAUCGUCCCGAGAACGCUCGGCGGCUCCAGCGCUGAAACGAUCUCCUCCGCCUUAGUCGGCGAAAAGGCCCGGAUCGCGAGCCCGGGCAUCGAUUGGUGCUGCAUCUGGGACUGAUGAGACUCAUGUCCAGGAAGCGCCACCGGCAGCGCCGUCGCCGGAGAACUCGACACGAUGGAUUGAUUGCUUCAUUCUGUAAAAAGAAGUGCUCACUGCGCCAGCAAGAUGAUUAUUCGCAAAGUGCUGCUGGACUAAGACCGGGUCUCGACCUUCCAGAGGACAUAUAUCGACAUAUACAUGCCCUAAUGCCAUUACGAGACGCUGCUCGUGCGGCUUGUGUGUCGCACACAUUUCUGCAAUCAUGGAGACGCUAUCGCAACCUUACCUUAAGUAAGGAAACACUAGGUUUGAAUGUAAAUGGUAUUGAUAAAGAUGAAAUGGCAAGAGAUCUCAUCAGCAAAGUUGACGGUGAUCUCAUCAGCAAAGUUGACGGUAUUCUUAAGAAUCACUCGGGUGUUGGCAUGAAGAAACUAGAGCUUAAUCUCUACUGUUGCCGCAAGGUUGAUCACUGUUAUCUCAAUAGUUGGCUUCGCAUUGCUUUCAGAGCAGGGAUUGAAGAGCUCACCAUGUUGCUGUCUCUUACCAGUGAGGCAAAAUACAACUUCCCAUGCUCUCUUUUAUUCAGUGGGAGUGAAAAAUCAAUUCGGCAUCUUAAGCUCUCCAGCUGUGUCUUUCGUCCCAUAGCUGAGCUUGAUUGCUGGAGAAGGUUGAAAGAGUUGCUGCUGACUAAUGUGCUGAUUACGAGCGAUGAGCUAGAGUGCCUUCUUUCCACUUCUUCCAUGUUGGAGUUACUGUGGCUCUUUAGAUGCAAAGAGAUAGUUCGUGUGAAGAUACCUUGUCAGCUCCAGCGGCUCAGCUUCCUGCGAGUGGGUGAAUGCAGAAAGCUCCAGGAGAUAGAGAGCAACGCUCCAAAUAUCUCGACUUUUGACAUCAGUGGCAGUAACUUGGUAAGGAUUUCAUUUGGAGGCGCAUUGCAAGUAAAGAACAUGAGGAUAUGUUCAUAUCAGCCCAACUUUAUCUGGUACACUCGGACCAAGCUUAUGCCAUCUGUACCGAAUGUUGAAACGCCUUCGCGUAUCCUCGUAUAAUGAGAUGAUCAGUACACCAACACUACCUAGCAAAUUCAUUCACCUCAAAUACUUGCACAUUACUCUAAUUGGACACGAGGCUAUUUCACCGGCCUAUGAUUACCUUUCUCUGGUUUCUUUUCUUGUAGCUUCUCCUUGCUUGGAGACUUUUAUCUUUGUAGUACAUCAGACUGACAUGAAGCAUGAUUAGAUUGUUGGGGAUAUCUCACAUUUGAGGCAGCUGCCAGAACACUGCCAUGACAACCUAAAGAGCGUAACGAUCGUCGGCUUCUGCUCUGCUAAGAGCAUGUUCGAAUUAACACUUCAUAUCAUUAAGAACACAUCAUCGCUUCAGUGUCUCACAUUGGACACUAGUUUCGGUUCUUAUGGCUGUUCAGCCGAUAAACCUGGCGGUUGCAACCCUAUGGGGAGGGAUAUAAUCAAGGAAGCCCAUAGAGCAUUUUUGGCUAUCAGAACACACGUUGAGGGCAUAAUCCCCUCUAGAGUUAAGUUAAAUGUUUCAGGGCCUUGCAGUCGGUGCCAUGCUGUUGAACAUUAGAUGUCAACCAUGGCAUAAUUUUCUCAGUGCCUAAUCAUGUAAAAUUAUAAUGUAUGUGAUGUGUUGUUCUUUCAAUUGUCAGAAGUGCCUAGUGUUGUGUUAAAUUUCAUGAUCCGUGUGUUACCAGUUUUGUACUUGAGGACAAACAUGUGCCUCUUUGUAUAAUGAAAUGCUGAAUUACAGUAAUGUAUUGAUGGAAGUUCAUGGUGAA